GCCUUACAAACCUCCGUCACCGACCACCCCAAGCCGCAAGACCGGAGCCAAAACGACCGGCCAAGCCUCGCCGUCAGCCUCAGCCCACCUCGACACCAGCCGCCGCUGUGAUCCCUCCGGAAAACCAUGAAAACCGCCAGUUUUCGUUCGAAACUUCAUGGCCGCCGAUUUCCGUCCUCCGGCCACCAAAUCGGACGAUCAAGGUAUGGAUCCUUACCUAUUUUUCACGACUUAGCUGCUGGUUGGGUAAGAUUGGAACGAUUUCUAGCCUAGAUAGAUCAAAC
rnacentral:lncRNA from 1 species